rnacentral:rRNA from 1 species
ACUCAAAGGAAUUGACGGGGGCCCGCACAAGCGGUGGAGCAUGUGGUUUAAUUCGAUGCAACGCGAAAAACCUUACCUACCCUUGACAUGUCGAGAAGCUUGAAGAGAUUUGAGUGUGCCCGCAAGGGAGCUUGAACACAGGUGCUGCAUGGCUGUCGUCAGCUCGUGUCGUGAGAUGUUGGGUUAAGUCCCGUAACGAGCGCAACCCUUAUUGCUAGUUACCAGCGAGUGAUGUUGGGGACUCUAGUGAGACUGCCGGUGAUAAACCGGAGGAAGGUGGGGACGAUGUCAAGUCAUCAUGGCCCUUAUGGGUAGGGCUACACACGUGCUACAAUGGCCGGUACAGAGGGAAGCGAAGCUGUGAAGUGGAGCGAAACCUAGAAAGCCGGUCGUAGUCCGGAUUGGAGUCUGCAACUCGACUCCAUGAAGACGGAAUCGCUAGUAAUCGUGGAUCAGCAUGCCACGGUGAAUACGUUCCCGGGCCUUGUACACACCGCCCGU